GCAGGAACAAUGGCGCUGUCUUCAGUGGCACAGUGGAGCAGCUCUGAAGAUGCAAAGAUACACGAAAAAACUUCCAGAACAUCUGGGAGAAUAUUUAAUGGAAAAUCGCUUGGUUAAAACCUGACACUUUUAACAGUGAACAGCGUUCUGAGUGUGGACGAGUAGCCAGUGAAGAUAAUGAAUGUCGAAUGUGACUGACUAGCAGCUUCAUUUUGAAUGAGGGUCGCUGUCUGCCCAUUGAUAGAGGCCAGAUUGUCUUGGAAGUUCCAAAGUUGCAACGAUUUCUGUAAGUGGAGUUUUUCUGUUUGCUUAGAGAUCAGUGAAUAUUGUGUCCUUGGUCUUAUCUGUGAUGAUCUUAUCCCGAACCUGAACUUCUGUUGA
rnacentral:lncRNA from 1 species